rnacentral:rRNA from 1 species
GAUGAACGCUGGCGGCGUGCCUAACACAUGCAAGUCGAACGGACAGGCGCGGCGCUUGCGCCUUUCUCGUGAGGGGAACGGGGGUGUAACACGUGAGUAUCCUGCCCCUGUCUUUGGGAUAACUCCAGGAAACUGGGGCUCAUACCGGAUAGAAGCUCCUGCUGCAUGUUGGGGGUCGGAAAGUUUCGGCGGUUGGGGAUGGACUGGCGGCUUAUCAGCUUGUUGGUGGGGUAGUGGCGUACCAAGGCUUUGACGGGUAGCCGGCCUGAGAGGGGGACCGGGCACAUUACGACUGAGAGACGGCCCAGAAGCCUACGGGAGGCAGCGGUGGAGAGUAUUGCACAAUGGGCGGGAGUCUGAUGCAGCAGCGCCGCGUGCGGGAAGACGGCCUACUGGUUAUAAACCGCUGUCGCCUGUGACAAAGCGUGAGUGACGGUAAUGGGUAAGGAAGCACCGGCUAACUACGUG